rnacentral:rRNA from 1 species
GACGAACGCUGGCGGCGUGCUUAACACAUGCAAGUCGAACGGAAAGGCCCCUUUGGGGGUACUCGAGUGGCGAACGGGCGAGUAACACGUGAGUAACCUGCCCUUGACUUCGGGAUAACUUCAGGAAACUGGGGCUAAUACCGGAUAGGAAUCCUUGCUGCAUGGUGGGGGUUGGAAAGCUUCGGCGGUUUUGGAUGGACUCGCGGCUUAUCAGCUUGUUGGUGGGGUAGUGGCUUACCAAGGCUUUGACGGGUAGCCGGCCUGAGAGGGCGACCGGCCACAUUGGGACUGAGAUACGGCCCAGACUCCUACGGGAGGCAGCAGUGGGGAAUAUUGCACAAUGGGCGGAAGCCUGAUGCAGCAACGCCGCGUGCGGGAUGACGGCCUUCGGGUUGUAAACCGCUUUCAGCAGGGGCGAAGCUUGUGGUGACGGUACCUGCAGAAGAAGCACCGGCUAACUACGUG